GCUGGGGGAGACAGGGGGGAAGAGGACCCGGAGUAGCCAGCGGCCCAAGAAAGGCGCCACGGGGGGGGGGGGGUGCGUUCUUGCCCCCCUCCCCCACUGCUACCACACGCAGCGGCGCACGCGCAACGCCAGCUCUCAUCUCCUCCCUCCCCGAAACCGCACAACUGGCCACUCUCUUGCCUACUCACUGGCUGAUGCUCCGUAAACACGGAGCAGCUACUCAAGGUCCAUUGGCUAGGAAGCCUACCCAUCAAACAUUGGUUUUUCGGCCAAUCAUCGUCGUCGAAAGCGGUUGCCGCCCUCUAACGCCUUCCAGCCCCCUUCCCUUCAAUUGACGUGAUCUGCUGCAACUGACGCCACCCCUAACCCAGUAAAAGUAGAUAGUCGGGCACGCCCUGGCUGUCAUAGUGUGUUAGUGACCCCUAAUCUUGGGGUGACAGUGCCUGGACUCCUCCAAAAGUAGAUACGCAAGAGCAAAACGAAUUUGGGUUCAUUAGAAAAAGCAACAGUCUAAAAAGGAAUGAAGUAUUCUGGUCCUAAAAGACCUGGCAGGUGUCUCCAUUUUUCAAGACAUGGAACAAAGAAUCGUGCAUAAGAUAUUCCAAGGGGGGCCUUGUUCUCCACUCCACAUUUCUCCACCAGCUCCCUCGCAAACUUAUUAUUCAUCCUCACUGUCCACUUUGCUAGAUAAGAGCUGGUCUAUACAAAUAAAAAUAUAUAUAUA